rnacentral:rRNA from 1 species
GAUGAACGCUGGCGGCGUGCCUAAUACAUGCAAGUCGAGCGAACAGACGAGGAGCUUGCUCCUCUGACGUUAGCGGCGGACGGGUGAGUAACACGUGGAUAACCUACCUAUAAGACUGGGAUAACUUCGGGAAACCGGAGCUAAUACCGGAUAACAUGUUGAACCGCAUGGUUCAACAGUGAAAGACGGUCUUGCUGUCACUUAUAGAUGGAUCCGCGCCGCAUUAGCUAGUUGGUAAGGUAACGGCUUACCAAGGCAACGAUGCGUAGCCGACCUGAGAGAGUGAUCGGCCACACUGGAACGGGGACACGGUCCAGACUACUACGGGAGGCAGCAGAAGGGAAUCUUCCGCAAUGGGCGAGAGCCUGACGGAGCAGCGCCGCGUGAGUGAAGAAGGUCUUCGGAUCGUAAAACUCUGUUAUUAGGGAAGAACAAAUGUGUAAGUAACUAUGCACGUCUUGACGGUAACUAGUCAGAAAGCCACGGCUAACUACGUG